AUUGGUCUACAAUCUCUUAACUCCUCUGCCUCGGGAAUGAAGAUCUCAACUACCUCCUCUGAUACCUUUCCUCGCAAGCUCGGCCUAAUUGGUAGGCGAAAUUAGCGGCCAAGGCUACUGCAUUCAGUUCGUGUUGCCACAGCGAAGCUUCUCUCGGCAAGAAAGAGAAAGGCAACCCUGUCUGACUCUAAAGCUGCUCCUAAAUCCCAAACCAGGCCUCCUUUGAUGGAUGACUGCUCCAACGAAGGUCUCAUCCUCCACUCUCUCUCGGCAGACAUCUUGGUGGACUGGGGUCGGAAGUGUGGAGUUAAAAUCCUAGACGCAGUGGUUGAGAAAUUCUCAAAGCUGCUGCUCACCUUGAAGACUGAGAGAGCUAAAGCCCAAUAGAUGACAUGGUCGACUAGGCCUAGUAGAUGUUCGGGUCAGUUCAUAUGCCUUCCAUUGCCUCUUGCUCUGAUUCCAUCCGGAUUGUUUCUCUCCUACAACCCUCUUUUGAUAGGCUAUAUCUGAUGAGUAUGGAUGCACUUAAUAAAGUCAGAAAAUAAAAUAU
rnacentral:lncRNA from 1 species